GUCGGCGCUACCUCAGAGGAAGGUUGGAACCGCGACACUGUUCGAUCGGCAUCCGACGGCAGCAAACAGGAAUGAGCGUCCCUCUGGUUUGGCCCAAAAACGUGAUGUCCAGCCUACUUACCAAGGCCCAUUUUGAGAAGCAUCGGAGGGGUAAAAAGGCGCGAGGACGACGGAAAACGGCGCGAGACAGACGGAAAAGGGCGGGAGGAGCGGAGGUGACUGUCGCCUCGCCGGACGGGAGCUUCUUUGAGUCUGUGGUUUGUGCAUUGCUUUGAUCCUGUUCACCAUUCCCUUUUCUCAUGGAAGAAGCAGCCGUUGAAAUUUCAUUCUAAACUACUGAGAUGGAAGAAGAGGCUAACACAGAAGAGGCCAACAAAGCACACCAUGAUUCAAAUACAACUGCUUGGUUUGUUACCUCAAGUUGGCAUGGAAUUUAGUACAUCGGAUGAGGCUUGGGCAUUUUGGCUUAGGUAUGGUGGAUAGAAAGGAUUCGAGGUCAGAAAAAAGUAUACAAAUAAAAGGCCAUCUGAUGGUAAGAUCACAUCAUGUAGAUUUGUUUGUGCAAAAGAGGGUCGUCGAUCACAAGACAAAAGGGAUCAUUUAACAAAGUGCCCUCGAGCUGAAACUAGAACCGAAUGUCAGAUUUACAUGAAUCUUAAAAUGGAUCGAAAGAAGGAAAUUCAGAAAGUGCCAGAACUGGUUUUGGAACACAAUCAUGCACUACAUCCACCAGAAACAUUACACUUAAUGGUGUCCCAAAGGUUACACUUAAUACUCAUGGAGCAAAGAAGGUUGCUCUUCCUCUUGCGAUGGUGCGGGCACCUGGGCGUGGCAGGUUACCUUCCCCGUGGAGGUGCGGCGCUUGGCGUGGCCGUGGCUGGGAUCCUCGACGGCGGCGGCUGCUCAUCGGAACCCUACCACUUCGUGAUAGUGGACGACGAUGGGAACGAGUGAUGUAGCAUCCGGCGGUGGUGUACGACGGAGAACAAGGUGCAGAUCCCCAGUGGAUGUGGACGACGACGAGCGAGCCGCGACACCAGACAAGAGGCGCUGUGGGCGGCGGCGAGAUGCUCGGCAGUCGGCACCCAUAGGCAGCGCUGUUUUUUUUUUUUUUGGUCGAACAGAUGCGACCUCAGCUUUGGUUAUUUGUUUAUGGGCCAGCAUGGGCUGUACGUAUGGACCAUAUCACUUGUUUCUUGAUGUGUCCGAUGCCUCACCAGAAGCAACUCACCUCUCUCUGAGGUAGCUCCAACGACUUCAGAGGGAUUCUGUACAAGAGCUCAGACUUGCGAUUGGUGACUGUACCUAUCAGCCAGAAAAGUACUAUGCUCUAACCACAACUUUCACA